UCUCUGGCUGGGUGGAGGACUCUCAGUUAGACUGGACAGGUCUCUGGCUGGGUGGAGGACUCUCAGUUAGACUGGACAGGCCUCUGGCUGGGUGGAGGACUCUCAGUUAGACUGGACAGGCUGGGUGGAGGACUCUCAGUUAGACUGGACAGGUCUCUGGCUGGGUGGAGGACUCUCAGUUAGACUGGACAGGUCUCUGGCUGGGUGGAGGACUCUCAGUUAGACUGGACAGGCAUCUGGCUGGGUGGAGGACUCUCAGUUAGACUGGACAGGCUGGGUGGAGGACUCUCAGUUAGACUGGACAGGCUGGGUGGAGGACUCUCAGUUAGACUGGACAGGUCUCUGGCUGGGUGGAGGACUCUCAGUUAGACUGGACAGGUCUCUGGCUGGGUGGAGGACUCUCAGUUAGACUGGACAGGCCUCUGGCUGGCUGGGUGGAGGACUCUCAGACUGGACAGGCCUCUGGCUGGGUGGAGGACUCUCAGUUAGACUGGACAGGUCUCUGGCUGGGUGGAGGACUCUCAGUUAGACUGGACAGGUCUCUGGCUGGGUGGAGGACUCUCAGUUAGACUGGACAGGCCUCUGGCUGGG
ensembl:lncRNA